rnacentral:rRNA from 1 species
CCCUACGGGAGGCAGCAGUGGGGAAUAUUGCACAAUGGGGGAAACCCUGAUGCAGCAACGCCGCGUGAGUGAAGAAGUAUUUCGGUAUGUAAAGCUAUAUCAGCAGGGAAGAAAUGACGGUACCUGACCAAGAAGCCCCGGCUAACUACGUGCCAGCAGCCGCGGUAAUACGUAGGGGGCAAGCGUUAUCCGGAAUUACCGGGUGUAAAGGGAGCGUAGACGGUGAUGCAAGUCUGGAGUGAAAGGCGGGGGCCCAACCCCCGGACUGCUCUGGAAACUGUAUGACUUGAGUGCAGGAGAGGUAA